UUGUGCGGGUCGUUUCCGUGUCGUCCGCUCGUCCGGUGAGGUGUGCUCCGAGCCGUCUCUCCCGAAAGUAGCAUCUCUCCGUCCGGCAGUUCGAUCCUCGUUCAUCCGUGGAUCUUCUGGAUCCGCCGACUCUUCGCGUGUAAGAUCUCAGAUCGGGAGAGCACGAUAAUAUCGAACGUACGUCGCGAUCGAGCACAGGAAAGCGGGACGACCACGUGAGAUCCGGUCUCUAGAGGACGGAAAAAUAUGAACAUUUCGUGAAGCCAGGAAAGCGGAGUUUUCAUCAUGGAAACCGAGGAACUUACUAGGCUUGUCGACGAGAUCUACAAGAAUAUCUUGGAUAAGUUCAAUCCUGGCGCGAGGCAGCUGAUCAACGCAGGCAAGGCGUACCUGAAGGCUCU